rnacentral:lncRNA from 1 species
CGCUGAGGAAGUCGGAGGUAGGAUGGUGUCCUCUCGUGGCAGUCAGCAUCUCUGCAGCCUGAUGGCAGCUGUGCCAAGAGAGAGCUGAGCCUGGGCUCUCCUACACAUGCAAGGGUGUCUUAGGGACAAAAUUCUUGAAGCAGAGCUUCCCACCUCCCCUAGUGCACACAAAGACAAAGACCCUCCUGCUCAAUGCCAGGCUGGAGGCUGCUGCUUGCUCUUGCUUUCCUUGUGUUAAAGAAGAACCUUCAGGAAAGGAGUGAUGGGUACCAGCUUUCCAGAGUGGAGCAAGUUUGUCCCAUGGAAUUGUGCUUAUCUAGAGAGCUACUGAGCUGCUGUGGGUUGGUGGAGAACAUCUCAGAGUUUGUAAUCGUGGAAAAGGGAGGACACAGGCAACCAGUCACCUGCUGGAUGGGGCAAUUGGGAAGAUGUGGAGAACCAAUGGGCAUCAUCUGCUGCUGGAGCAUUGCUGCUCAGGUCCGUGCUUUGCUUUCAGUGGGUCAGGGCAUGGGAUUUGCAGUACCGUCUUUAGGAAUUUAA